AGGGCACCACCAGGAGUGGAGCCUGCGGCUUAAUUUGACUCAACACGGGGAAACUCACCAGGUCCAGACAUGACUAGGAUUGACAGAUUGAUAGCUCUUUCUUGAUUUUAUGGGUGGUGGUGCAUGGCCGUUCUUAGUUGGUGGAGUGAUUUGUCUGGUUAAUUCCGAUAACGAACGAGACCUUAACCUGCUAAAUAGCCAGGCCGGCUUCGGCUGGUCGCCGGCUUCUUAGAGGGACUAUCAGCGUCUAGCUGAUGGAAGUUUGAGGCA
rnacentral:rRNA from 1 species